rnacentral:rRNA from 1 species
UGGGGAAUAUUGCACAAUGGGCGCAAGCCUGAUGCAGCCAUGCCGCGUGUGUGAAGAAGGCCUUCGGGUUGUAAAGCACUUUCAGCGAGGAGGAAGGCGUUAAGGUUAAUAACCUUGGCGAUUGACGUUACUCGCAGAAGAAGCACCGGCUAACUCCGUGCCAGCAGCCGCGGUAAUACGGAGGGUGCAAGCGUUAAUCGGAAUUACUGGGCGUAAAGCGCACGCAGGCGGUUUGUUAAGUCAGAUGUGAAAUCCCCGAGCUUAACUUGGGAACUGCAUUUGAAACUGGCAAGCUAGAGUCUUGUAGAGGGGGGUAGAAUUCCAGGUGUAGCGGUGAAAUGCGUAGAGAUCUGGAGGAAUACCGGUGGCGAAGGCGGCCCCCUGGACAAAGACUGACGCUCAGGUGCGAAAGCGUGGGGAGCAAACA